UGGGGAAUAUUGCACAAUGGGGGAAACCCCUGAUGCAGCCCAUGCCGCGUGUGUGAAGAAAGGCCUUCGGUUUGUAAAGCACUUUCAGCGAAGGAAGAAAGGUUGGCGCCUAAUACGUGUCAACUGUGAACGUUACUCCCAAAAAAAACCACCGGCUAACUCCGUGGC
rnacentral:rRNA from 1 species